CCUAUCCACUGGGAGUCCUUUUGCGUUUCAGAUGCUCCCAGGCUCUCCCGCAGUUUAAAGACUUAACUCAGCGGCUUUCAGGGCCUGUGGUUGAGGGACUCCGAAAGAACUGUUGCUGGUGGACCGGUUCAGGGUCUUGACUUCGCCACACAAAAGAACUUGAGAGCACGUCCAAAGUAAAGCUAAGACCUCUAGUACAGUGUUCAAUGGAACUGGUGAGAAAAGACGUCCUUGCUGUGUUCCUGAUAUGAAGAGGAAAGCAGUCCUUCUCCAUUAAAUGCUGACAACAUGAGCCUCCCGUGGUCGGAACGGGCUUGUGAAGGCGGUGCUGGGGUGCACCAGGGCAGCAGCUACAGACCCUCUGGUGCUGGGCACCAAUGAGAAGCUCAUCUGGCCCCGGGAUCCUGGCAGGACACUGGGAGCACUAUUUCCAUGGGCAGCAGGGUUGUUCCUGGAGACAUCACUGACCCAGGACACCUAGCACAAUGGCACUCGAUGUGAAAGUGGCUUCGUACAAAUCUGCCACUCAAGCCUAAAUAAGUGCAUUCCAGAAGAGCCGCAGCCCCUCUAACAGCUCCUGAGGAAAAUCAUACUGGUAGCCUUCAAGUGGCCAUGGUGGGAGCAUUGACCCAGGGAAAUCCACAUUUCCCAACACAUGCUGGAUACCUGAGGACUCCAGAGCUACUAUCUGCUCAUAUCUGCUCAACAUUAAAAAAAAAAAAAAAACCUCACAUUGUUAAGUGAAAAGGUUUAUUGGCAGAUUUGCUUAACUCAAUUUGCAAAGAUACCUUAGACCAGGGGUCGGCAAACUACAUUCCACAGAACGAAGCUGCCCAUUACUUGUCUUUUGUUUGUUUGUUUGUUUUGUUUUGUUUUGUUUUGAGAUGAAGUCUCGCUCUUGUUGCCCGGGCUGGAGUGCAAUGGUGUGAUCUCAGCUCACUGCAACCUCAACCUCCCUGGUUCAAGCAAUUCCCCUGCCUGAGCCUCCCAAGUAGCUGGGAUUACAGGCACAUGCCACCAUGCCCAACUGAUGUUUUUGUAUUUUUAGUAGAGAUGGGGUUUCACCAUGUUGGCCAGACUGGUCUCGAACUCCUGACCUCAGGUGAUCCACUGCCUCAGCCUCCCAAAGUGCUGGGAUUACAGGCGUGAUCCUAAGUACAGUUUUAUAGGACAACCAUGCUCAUUCAUUUCCGUAUCGUCCACGGCUGCUCUACAGCAGCAGAGUUUAGUGGUCAGGACAGAACCGGCACAACCUGCACAACCUGCACAACUUUCAAAGGCUGAAUAUUUACUCUCCGGCUCUUUAGAGAAAGUUUGCAACUCCUACUUUAGACUGAUGCUUCUCCAAUGCUAACGCGCCAGUCACCAAAUCACCGGCAUCUGGUCCCAGCCUCCAACCAUAAACCACAGCUGAAUGGAAACUUGGUAGCGCUUGCCUUCAAUAGCAGAUGCUGUAAGAGGAAAGCAAGGUGACCAAGAAAACAUUGCAAAACUCUGGGCAGAAUCUGGGGCCUGAAGACUCUGAGUCAGAGGCCUCUUUUUUUGCUCUAAACACAUAUUAGCAAGAGUCCAAGAGGCAUCAAAGAUGAGUUAGCAGCAAAAUGAGGCUUUGUCCUUCAUGUAGAAAGGAUUAAAUGAUAGUUGAAAAUGCAAUAA
ensembl:lncRNA MIR646HG MIR646 host gene